rnacentral:rRNA from 1 species
AUUGAACGCUGGCGGCAGGCCUAACACAUGCAAGUCGAGCGAGUGGCGGACGGGUGAGUAAUGUCUGGGGAACUGCCUGAUAGAGGGGGAUAACUACUGGAAACGGUGGCUAAUACCGCAUACUAUCCGAUGAACCCAUAUGGGAUUAGCUUGUUGGUGGGGUAAAGGCUCACCUAGGCGACGAUCCCUAGCUGGUCUGAGAGGAUGACAAGCCAAACUGGAACGGAGACACGGCCCAGACGCCGACGGGAGGCAGCAGUGGGGAAUAUUGCACAAUGGGCGCAAGCCUGAUGCAGCCAGGCCGCGUGUAUGAAGAAGGCCGUAGGGUUGUAAAGUACUUUCAGCGGGGAGGCGUUACCCGCAGAAGAAGCACCGGCUAACUCCGUGCCAGCAGCCGCGGUAAUAC